rnacentral:rRNA from 1 species
UGAGGAAUAUUGGUCAAUGGGCGGGAGCCUGAACCAGCCAAGCCGCGUGAGGGAGGAAGGCCCUAUGGGUCGUAAACCUCUUUUGUCAGGGAACAAAAGCGAGUAUGUAUACUAGUCUGAGUGUACCUGAAGAAAAAGCAUCGGCUAACUCCGUGCCAGCAGCCGCGGUAAUACGGAGGAUGCGAGCGUUAUCCGGAUUUAUUGGGUUUAAAGGGUGCGUAGGCGGCGGUGCAAGUCAGCGGUAAAAGCCCGGGGGCUCAACCCCGGCGAGCCGUUGAAACUGCAGUGCUAGAGAAGGCGAGAGGUACACGGAAUGCGCAGUGUAGCGGUGAAAUGCUUAGAUAUUGCGCAGAACUCCGAUUGCGAAGGCAGCGUACUGGCGCCUGACUGACGCUGAGGCACGAAAGCGUGGGGAUCGAACAGGAUUAGAUACC